GAGAAUCCCGUAGUCGAAGCAGAGGGAAGCCUAGCGGUAUCCUGAGUAACUCCGGACACGAGAAAUCCGGGGCGAAACUGCCGGGACCAUCCGGUAAGGCUAAAUACUCUCGAGAGACCGAUAGCGAACAGUACCGUGAGGGAAAGGUGAAAAGAACCCCGAACAGGGGAGUGAAAGAGAACCUGAAACCAGUUGCCUACAAGCGGUCAGAGCCCUACGGGGUGAUGGCGUGCCUUUUGCAUAAUGAUCCUACGAGUUACCUUCACAUGCAAGGUUAAGGGCCUCAGGCCUGGAACCGAAGCGAAAGCGAGUCUGAAUAGGGCGAUGAGUAUGUGUGGGUAGACGCGAAACUGAGUGAUCUACGCCGGACCAGGUUGAAGGUUGGGUAAAACCAACUGGAGGACCGCACUGAUAAGCGUUGAAAAGCUUACGGAUGAGUUCGGUGUAGGAGCGAAAGACCAAUCAAACUCAGAGAUAGCUCGUACUCCCCGAAAUGCAUUUAGGUGCAGCCUGGGACUGACAAUAUGAGAGGUAGAGCGACUGAUAGGAAGCGAGGCUUUCACCGGCUAUCAAUUCCUGAUAAACUCCGAAUGCUCAUAUUCAUUGUCCUGGAGUGAGGGCACGGGUGCUAACGUCAGUGUCCGAGAGGGAAACAACCCAGACCGCCGGCUAAGGCCCCCAAUUGUGGGCCGAGUUGAACGAAACGAAGUAGAGGGACAGAGACAGUCAGGAUGUUGGCUUGGAAGCAGCCAUUCAUUUAAAGAGUGCGUAACAGCUCACUGAUCGAGUCCCUCCGCAUGGAUAAUAAUCGGGCAUAAGUCCACAGCCGAAGCCGCGGAAUUAGCAAUAAUUGGUAGGGGAGCAUUCAUGUCAGCAGUGAAGGAUUUCCGGGAGGGGCUCUGGAGCGGCAUGAAAAGCAGAUGUAGGAAUAAGUAACGAUAAGGAGAGUGAGAAACUCUCCCGCCGCAAGACUAAGGUUUCCUGAUCAACGUUAAUCGGAUCAGGGUAAGUCGGGACCUAACGGGCAGCCUUUGGGCGCACCGGAAGGAAGAACAUGUCAAGAUUCAUGUACUGAGUCCGUGGAGACGCAGGGACAGAGGAGUGACACAGCCGCCGUCUGACGGAAUAGACGGUUGAAAGACGUAGGUAUAGGAGGCACAGUCAAGCACGUGCCUUUUGCUGAAAUCCGAUAGUACUCGGAAGCUUCGGCCGAAGAGAUAGAGCUGGUAAGCAUACUCUCGAGAAAAACUGCUAUCAUCCAACACGCGACCCACCCGUACCGCAAACCGACACAGGUAGUUGGGUAGAGUAUACCAAGGCGCUCAGGAGACUCGCGGUUAAGGAACUAGGCAAAAUGACCCCGUAACUUCGGGAUAAGGGGACCUCGUGAGAGCGAGGCGCAGAGAAUAGGUCCAGGCAACUGUUUAACAAAAACACAGGGCUGUGCGAAAUCGAAAGAUGAAGUAUACAGCCUGACACCUGCCCGGUGCCGGAAGGUUAAGAGGAGGGCUCAUCGCAAGAGAAGGCCUGAAUUGAAGCCCCGGUAAACGGCGGCCGUAACUAUAACGGUCCUAAGGUAGCGAAAUUCCUUGUCGGGUAAGUUCCGACCUG
rnacentral:rRNA from 1 species